rnacentral:rRNA from 1 species
CAAUAGCGUAUAUUAAAGUCGUUGCAGUUAAAAAGCUCGUAGUUGGAUUUGUGGCGUACGGUGUGUUCCGGGCACUUGUUGUCUGAGUAACCUGCUGUUGCCAUCCUUGGGUGGAACCUGUGUGGCAUUAGGUUGUCGUGCAGGGGAUGCCCAUCAUUUACUGUGAAAAAAUUAGAGUGUUCAAAGCAGGCUUAUGCCGUUGAAUAUAUUAGCAUGGAAUAAUGAGAUAGGACUUUUUUGCUAUUUUGUUGGUUUGCGCAAAGAGGUAAUGAUUAAUAGGGACAGUUGGGGUAUUCGUAUUCCAUUGUCAGAGGUGAAAUUCUUGGAUUUUUGGAAGACGAACUACUGCGAAAGCAUUUACCAAGGAUGUUUUCAUUAA